CCUACGGGUGGCAGCAGUGGGGAAUAUUGCACAAUGGGCGCAAGCCUGAUGCAGCCAUGCCGCGUGUGUGAAGAAGGCCUUCGGGUUGUAAAGCACUUUCAGCGGGGAGGAAGGCGGUGAGGUUAAUAACCUCAUCGAUUGGCGUUACCCGCAGAAGAAGCACCGGCUAACUCCGUGCCAGCAGCCGCGGUAAUACGGAGGGUGCAAGCGUUAAUCGGAAUUACUGGGCGUAAAGCGCACGCAGGCGGUCUGUCAAGUCGGAUGUGAAAUCCCCGGGCUCAACCUGGGAACUGCGUUCGAAACUGGCAGGCUAGAGUCUUGUAGAGGGGGGUAGAAUUCCAGGUGUAGCGGUGAAAUGCGUAGAGAUCUGGAGGAAUACCGGUGGCGAAGGCGGCCCCCUGGACAAAGACUGACGCUCAGGUGCGAAAGCGUGGGGAGCAAACAGGAUUAGAUACCCCUGUAGUC
rnacentral:rRNA from 1 species